rnacentral:rRNA from 1 species
GACGAACGCUGGCGGCGUGCCUAAUACAUGCAAGUCGAACGAAGUGGCGCACGGGUGAGUAAUAUAUAGUUAAUCUGCCCUACACAGAGGAACAACAGUUGGAAACGACUGCUAAUACCUCAUAGUGUAGGAUGAGACUAUAUCGUAUCAGCUAGUUGGUAAGGUAAUGGCUUACCAAGGCUAUGACGCGUAACUGGUCUGAGAGGAUGAUCAGUCACAUUGGAACUGAGACACGGUCCAAACUCCUACGGGAGGCAGCAGUAAGGAAUAUUGCGCAAUGGGGGAAACCCUGACGCAGCAACGCCGCGUGUGUGAAGAAGGCCUUCGGGUUGUAGCCUUCGGAAGUUCCUCGACCGUUACUCGCAGAAGAAGCACCGGCUAACUCCGUGCCAGCAGCCGCGGUAAUUC